rnacentral:rRNA from 1 species
UACGUAGGGAGCAAGCGUUGUCCGGAAUCAUUGAGCGUAAAGCGCGCGUAGGUGGCCUCGUAAGUCCGCUGUGAAAGUCAAAGGCUCAACCUUUGAAAGCCGGUGGAUACUGUGGGGCUAGAGUACGGAAGAGGCGAGUGGAAUUCCUGGUGUAGCGGUGGAAUGCGCAGAUAUCAGGAGGAACACCAAUAGCGAAGGCAGCUCGCUGGGACGUAACUGACACUGAGGCGCGAAAGCGUGGGGAGCGAACAGG